CCUCAUAAAAGUUAUUCUUUAAUUUUGGCAACUCUCAUACCAACUGUUCACAAUCUUUUAAAAGCAUUGUAGAAUCAAGUACACUCUGCAUAUGUUCUAACUUCCUUUGUCGGGAAUGAAUUGCUUUGUUUAAAAUCCAACAUGGUAAUUAAGUCCCAUGCUUUUCUGAUGCAUAGAAAUUCAUUUCAUGUUAGAAUCCUAAUGUACACAAAUGCAAGUUAAAGAAAAUAAUGGCCUACUAAGCGGUAUAACCUGCAAGCACUGCAUGUAUGGGGACCGGAGGGUGGAAUGCCAGUCCAGAAACUCUUUUUAAAAUUAUGCAAAUUAUGAUGGCAUUCUGAAAUCACUUCUAUGCCAAAAAGGGUCACUAGUAACAUAAAAGUCAUUUUAUAAGGAAACACAAUGUAAUUUUCAAGGCAUAAAGUGAAAUGAAUUAUAGAGCUACCUAAAACACAUUCUGAUAACAAAUGCAUGGGAAACCAUGCAGGAUGUUCACACCUAUAUGCAAUGAUUCUAUUUAGGAACUCUCUUAUUUCUCCUCCAAAAUCAUCUAAUAACAUUAUUGUAUACUUGGGUUGUUUAAUUUCAUAGUUCCGUAGAGAAGGUGAGUCAAAUUGAUGUAUUUUUUUUUUUAGUCUGGGUUUCUAUAAUCUAAGGCUGGCACAGUACUUCACAAUCACAUGUUCUAAACAGAAUCUGCUGCUUGGAGUGCAGUGUAAAUUUUCUUUACAGACUGUAUAAAGAGAAAACUUAUUACACACAAAUUGUAUUAAUUUCAGCUAGAUAUAGGCUAACCCACAAUACAGGCAUUGAAACAUGUCUCUACAGGUGAUUUCAGAUGUUGCAUUCUGGUGCUUUUAUUCAGUUCUGGUUUGAUUACCUUUUCUUUGGGUUCUUUGAGAAACCUAAAAAAAAAUCUUCCUGCAGUUUCCAUGCUAAAACCCCUGUCUUGGAUUACUCCUGAGCUAUAAGUCAGGGAUGUUUCUCACUUUCAAAAAAUUUUAAAAUCUGUAUCAUUGGACAAAUGCGCUUGCCCCAAAAUUUCUUAUUUAAUUGUUUUCCUCAUUCUACUUUGCCAUUUU
rnacentral:lncRNA from 1 species